AAACGACUCUCGGCAACGGAUAUCUCGGCUCACGCAUCGAUGAAGAACGUAGCAAAAUGCGAUACUUGGUGUGAAUUGCAGAAUCCCGUGAACCAUCGAGUUUUUGAACGCAAGUUGCGCCCGAAGCCUUUUGGCUGAGGGCACGUCUGCCUGGGCGUCACACA
rnacentral:rRNA from 1 species